UGCUAUUGCCAUUUAGUCUGGGUGCUGUUGGGGUGCCGUGUAUGUGUGUGUGUGUGUGUGGAGGGGGGAGGUAUAUCUUGAUCUUCAAACGCCAGGUAAAAUAAUUUACGUGCUUAAAAAAAAAAUUCUUUCAGAACUUUAACCCCAACUUCUCAAGCAAAAUAAAGUCUUCCAGACGUUGUGGGAUCAGUGAGAGGUCUAUAAUAUUAUCGAGACACGAACUUUGGGAUAGACUGCACAGAGUUUGCGAGCUGGGGACUGUAUAAAUGAUGGUGCGUAUGCUUGGAAUUUGGAUGACAGGCGUCGUCAGAUCACUCACUCACUGCUGUGUUCCUGGAAUUUUUUUGAAGGAUGGGCUAUGAGGGGCUUUCCCCCACUGCCGUUAGGAACUCUUUUCCCUCUGUGAGCAUGUGCUGCGGAACCAGGUAAAAGAGGGAAUGAGCGCCUCUUUGCAGCCAACCCAGAUUAUAGCUCAUAAUUACUCCAAGUCAUGUAUGGAUACAAGUUAAUGCUGCUAUUUAUGAAUUGAGGAUUAUGGUCUUUGAUCUCAGAUCUGCUUUUGAAGAAGAAGAAAAUGCUGACUUUCCGUACGGCUGCUCUCCAUAGUCGCGGUGAUAAGAUGCUCUGCUCUGGAACAUCCGCACACUCUGCAUUUUUGACUCAAACUCAAAAGGAAUGUGCCAGAAACCAUGACCAGCCAUUGACAUGUGUGUCCAUCCAAACUUGAAGUCAAAUCACUUCUUGUCAGAAAGGCAUUUAACCAAAUUUGCAUUUGCUUUUUGUUUCUUUUAAGUGGUUUUAAGCUCUUUUGCCUGCUAUUGUGGGAGUUGCAAGAGUAACACUCAGAAUUAUAAUAAAGUACAUGUGUUUUCCUGUUGAA